AGUAUGCAUUAGAACCACCUGGACCCUACAACACAUCCAUGAGGAACCUGGAUUCGUUGUGAAAAGGGGCACAAAACUCAUGACCUUCCUAUUAACAGAUACCCAACACAU
rnacentral:snoRNA from 1 species